UAGUUGAAAAUUCUAGCAGCUGGUAUUUGC
rnacentral:piRNA from 1 species